rnacentral:rRNA from 1 species
UACGUCGGGGGCAAGCGUUGUCCGGAAUCAUUGGGCGUAAAGCGCGUGUAGGCGGUCCGGUAAGUCGGUUGUGAAAGUCCAGGGCUCAACCCUGGGAUGCCGAUCGAUACUGCCGGACUAGAGUCCGGAAGAGGCGAGUGGAAUUCCCGGUGUAGCGGUGAAAUGCGCAGAUAUCAGGAGGAACACCGGUGGCGAAGGCGGAUCUCUGGGCCUUACCUGACGCUCAGGCGCGAAAGCUAGGGGAGCGAACAGG